CCUAUCAGAUCUACCCCCGAACACGAAGCACCCCGCACUCCCUCUGCCCCGACCAGUCCAGCGCCGCCCUCUCCACCGAAUGCCCGAAGGCCGCAGCGACCAGCAGACGCCUCCCUCUCCAACGGAUGGCCCUCUCUCUCCCCGACCACGCAGGUGCCUCUCUGUACCCCUAUCAAAUUCGAUACCGCCCCGCCCAGGGACCUUCCGCCAUACUCGACUCGCCAGAGCUCGCCUCUUCCUUCGUCCCCUCCUCCCCGGCCCCUAUGCUUGUCUCGUGCACUUCGGUCUUCACGAUCAUGGGCUCAUUCAUUUUCCGCCCCUUAGCCUCUGCAACAGACGCCCCACACUUUCCUCAGCCCUCGCCCUGUCGCCUCCACCAAUCCCCCAUGCCACCAGCCAGCGACGCUGUGCUCUCCUCAAGACCUAGCUCAUGCCUCCGAUGUGUCCGUCAUGCUCGACGGUGGAGCAUGCCAGGAAAGCGCUCAAACUGAAUCACAUCACUUGGGCUUCAUCCCUGUCCGAAGAGAUGAGAGAUGGAUUCGCUGUCGCCAACCACUAAACCAUGAUCCUUCGUGGCGAGCGCCUACUUCUCGGAGCCUGCCCUCCCGCGGUCUCACCGCGCAGCCAUCCAUCGGCUAGGAGCCCCUAGGGGGAUGUUGUCGGUGUAGAAUGCGUCUCCAACACUGUGGGUUGGGGACCGAGCGAUGGGCCGUGGCGGAUUCCAGUCAGGGUGUUGCUCGGCUAGCGCAGAUGCAAGCUGCAGAAGAAUAGAAUAAUUCGAUUUAAGGAAGGCAGGCGUACUAUAAACUUCGGUACUGCUAAUUACUACCUUCAUUUGGUCAUAUCUGAUUCUCUGUUAUCCUACACUGUGAUCUUAGUUUGAUUACCCAUGGAAUGCGUUAUAUUCUCUGAUGGUAUUUAUAGCUUUUUUAAACUGGUUGGUGCAGGAUUCGUUAACAUGAAUUCCCAGACGAUAUUACCAUCCAAAUCGUGAAGAGCAGCUUGCGCACAAGGGGCAGUGCAGCGAACACAAGCAAAGAAAAUGGUAGAAGAUCCGCCUCCACCGACAUCACACACUCAUCCUUGAUCUCCCACCAGCGAUGCCCCGAGGUCAUUGACACAUGCAACCAAGUGAUUCCAACGACGUCGAGGAGGUUGUGGGUGAGAGCUCCUGUUCUCCUGGGGAGAGCAUGUUGGCGUGUUCGAGGUGUCCAAGAAGAAGGGAGGAGGCACUCAUGUGGGCUGCUCUAGGAAAUACACCAGAUUGAGCGAGGUUAGAUUAAAGCUUCUUAAUUCUUCACUAGAAUUCUUUGGAGUUGGAAGAAGUGCGCGCAUAUGGAAGAAGGUACUGCAAGCCGGGGGCACAUAGGAAGACCGGACAGAGAAACAGUGAAGGAAGAUGCAGACCAUCAUCAAACUUUAUCUAUUUGUGUUUCGGAUGCGACUUGCAUGUGGUCAAAGACAUGAUGAUCACCAAGAAUGGAGGGAAGUGGGAGAAAAACAUCAGAGUUUGUGAACAAAUUUUGAAAGAAAGACCAAUUGGUUCAA